UGAAUGAGAUGGUUCCUGCUGAAGAC
rnacentral:piRNA from 1 species